CCAUAGGUUAUUAAAAAUAGUGUAAAUCCCAAAACUUACAUAGUUAAAUGCUAAAGCUUCGACCCGAGAAUCCAACAACUGGUUCAUGUCUAAAGAUUUUCCAGUUUGUUUUUUGGGUAGCAAUG